GACGAACGCUGGCGGCGUGCCUAAUACAUGCAAGUAGAACGCAGUUGCGAACGGGUGAGUAACGCGUAGGGAACUGCCUCAUAGCGGGGGAAAACUAUUGGAAACGAAAGCUAAUACCGCAUACUGAGCGAUGGACCUGUGUCGGCGUAGCUAGUUGGUGAGGUAAAGGCUCACCAAGCCGACGAUACAUAGCCGACCUGAGAGGGUGAUCGGCCACACUGGGACUGAGACACGGCCCAGACUCCUACGGGAGGCAGCAGUAGGGAAGUUUGGACAAUGGGGGAAAGCCUGAUCCAGCCAUCCCGCGUGUGUGAUGAAGGCCUUCGGGUUGUAAAGCACUUUUGGCAGGAAAGCGGUACCUGCAGAAUAAGCACCGGCUAACUACGUGCCAGCAGCCGCGGUAAUAC
rnacentral:rRNA from 1 species